AUUCAAACAAGGAAGGGAUUACGGUGGAUACCUAGGCACCCAGACACGAGGAAGGGCAUGGUAAGCAACCAAAUUCUUUGGCGUGUUGAAAAUGAGCAUAGAUCUAGAGAUUCCCGAAUAGGUUAACCUUUUUAACUGCUUCGUAAUCCAUGGGCAGGAAAGAGACAACUUGGCAAACUGAAACAUAUUAGUAUCCAUAGGAAUAGAAAUCAAAAGUGAUUCCCAUAGUAGCAGCGAGCGAAAUGGGAGCAGCCUAAACUGUGAAAAUGGGGUUGUGAGAGAGCACAAUAUAAGCUCUGUGCUGCUAGGCGAAGCGAUUGAGUUGUGCACCCUAGAUGGUGAGAGUCCAAUAGCCAAAAGCAUCAUAGGGUUAUGCUCUAACCCGAGUAGCAUGGGGCACAUGGAAUCCCAUGUGAAUUAGCAAGGACCACCUUGCAAGGCUAAAUACUCCUAAGUGAUCGAUAGCGAAGUAGUACCAUGAGGGAAAGGUGAAAAGAACCUGCAUUCGGGAGUGAAAUAGAACAUGAAACUGUAAGCUCCCAAGUAGUGGGAGGAAAAUGAUAUCUCUGACUGCGUGCCUAUUGAAGAAUGAGUUGGUGACUUAUAGGCAGUGGCUUGGUUAAGGGAACCCACCGCAUCCAUAACGAGAGAGAGUCUUCAUAGCACAAUUGUCACUUCUUAUGGAACCCAACCUGGGUGAUCUAUCCAUGAACAUGAUGAAUAUUGGGUGAAACUAAGUGGAGGUAUGAACUGAUUGAUGUUGAAAAAUCAGUGGAUGAGUCAGGGUUAGGGGUGAAAUUCGACUCGAACCCAGAGAUAGUUGGUUCUCCCUGAAAUGCGUUGAGGUGCAACAAUGGACUGGACCAUCUAGGGGUAAAGAAAUGUUUCGGUACGGGCCGCGAGAGUAGUACCAAAUCGAGGCAAACUAUGAAUACUAUAUUUCCCCAAUAAAAUGGGUAAAGUACAGCUAAUGAGACGAUGGGGGAUAAGAUUCAUUGUUUUGAGGGAAACAACCCAGAUCAUUAGCUAACGCCCCUAAAUGACCGCUCAGUGAUGAAGGAAGUAUGAGUGAAAAGAUAGCCAGGAGGUUUGCCUAGAAGCAACCAACCUUGAAAGAGUGUGUAAUAUCUCACUGAUUGAGUGCUCUUGCUCCGAAGAUGAACGGGACUAAGCGAUCUACUGAAUCUAUGGGAUGUAAAAAUACAUCGGUAGGGGAGCAUUCUACCUCAAAGGGAAGCACCAGCAUGAGAAGGUGUGGACAAAGCGGAAGUGUUAAUGUCAGCUUGAAUAACGCAAACAUUGGUGAGAAUCCAAUGCCCCGAAAACCUAAGGGUUCCUCCACAAAGUUUGUCCAUGGAGGGUGAGUCAAGGCCUAAGAUCAGGUCGGAAGGCAUAGUUGAUGGACAAUAGGUUAAUAUUCCUGUACUACCCGUUGUUGUUCCUAAGGAACGGAGGAGGCUAGGUUAGUCGAAAGAUGGUUAUCAGUUCAAGGAUGCAAGGUGACCCUCUAUACAUAGAUUCAAAGGUAAAAGAAGAAUCAAAUAUAGGUGUGUACAAGGUGAGGUUGGGGGUGGAUAUUCAUCAUCAUCUACUCUAGCACACAAAAAUCCAAUAGGGCUUAUCCAAACAUUAUAGGAUGCUCAAAAUUAUGUAGGAGCACCCAUAUCAUCAAUGAGGGUGAGUAUACCUUCUAGGAGAUAUGUUAACCAUAUUGUAUUAUAUUCUUCCAUUUGUGAUCUUUAGAAUUGUUUUGAGGAGGUGAUGUGUGAUACUUUUUUGGAUGAGUGUGAUGUUUGGGGGGUAGUUCCUUUCUAGGAGCCAGUGGUUGAUUUUGAGAUUGCAACGUGUUCAAAUUUACAGAAGGAAAGUUUGUUUGAGUUGCAAAGGGAGAGAAAUGAUGUUGGUGAAAACACUUUCCUCAUAAAGAGGGUGUGUUUUCUUUCGAGGUUACUCUGAAAUUGUUUGAUCAAGUUGCAAAGGAAGCAUAAAGAUGUUGGUGAAAACAUUUUCCUCAUAAAGAGGGAGUGUUUUCUUUCGAGGUUACUCCAAAAUUAAGUUACACCAUACUUAAGGGUUCUUCAUGUGAUGUGGGGUGCAUGGUGUAUUUAUAACCCUUACUUGAUGUGAUGGACAUGCACAUUGGAGUUAGCUUUCCUAUUGAUUAUAAGACCUUGUCUUGAUGCAUAUGUGGAAUUCUUCCUUGGAUCAUUGGAGACCUACAUGUCUAGUGGCUUUCUUCAUGAGACAAAAAUGGAGGUCGAUUGAUUCCUUGGGAUGAUGGUUUUCCUUGGAGGAAGAUAAUUGGGCAUAUUGGAGGAGGGAAUUGAACCCUAGAUGGCAUGGGGACACUUGGUUUCUUACAUGGAGACUUGGCCUUGACUUGAGGACACUUGGGUUGAAAACCAAUCAUGUAAGUGACAUUGACCUAGAGGUAUACAUGGCCUAAGAAGGAGUGUUGGAGAAUUGGAGACCUUUGGAGGAGUGUUACACACACCUCAUGGAGCAUUCAAUGUUCAAUCCGCGUUUGUUGUAUGUGCUUCCCUUGGAGAUUGGAAUGUGUGAGUUGGAGUUGGAGUGAUCCACAUGUGGGGAUAUUUAGUAAUUAGAUAGAUUUUUUGUUGUGGACUUGAUCCACUUUAUGAUUUUUUCCUUCCUUGACUUUCAUAUAAAUAAAUUGAGAAGGUAUUUUCAUCACUUGUACUUCUUCACUCAUAGACUCACAUGCUUGCAUUAGAGAUGUGAGACUAGGGUGAACUUGUCUUCUUAUACUCUUAUUCAUGUGUAUUUUCUUUAUGUUUGAAUCCUCCUUAGAGUUUCUUGUCAUAAGUAGUAUUCACUUUUUUGUUCUUCAUUACUUCUCUAAUUUUAACAAAAGCACAACAGAAACAAAAUCUAAAUAGAGGAAGGUCAUAUCUUUAGUUGAUAAAAUUAUGUAAAGUAAGAAAUAUGGAGAAAAAAAAGAAAAAAAAGAGCAGGGAUAUUCAUGGAGAAAAAAAAAGAGCUAACCCUAACCCUAACUCGAUUGGAGUCUUGUGAUUUUGGGGACAAAGACCAUGAAAUUACUAUUUUUGAUGACCUCCUCUUUCUUUUUCGCUUGGGAUUUUAUGUGGAUAUUGGCCUCCUUAUCUAUCGCUAUCCCUCGACUUUCUCUUACCCAACUCCUUCUUUGUGUCUUAGCCUCCUCUUGCCCUAGCUCUUGCCCUGCUCUUGGCCUCCUUCUCUUGCCAAACAUCUAUGAGCUUCUCUGUCGCACGAGUGCAGUCAUGUGAGUGUGCUCUAGCUCUUGCCCUCCUCUUCGCCUCCUUCUAUGUUGUGUGAGUGCACUAUGAGUGUGCUCUAGUUCUUUCCCAUCUCCUAUUCACCUACUUAUUUGUUGUGCGAGUGCAAUGUGAGUGUGCUAAUCUAGCUCUUUCCCUCGGCCUCUUCGCCUCCUUCUCUGUCACACAAGAAUGUGUAUUUUGGGCUUUAAUUUGAUCAUGAGUGUGAGACACGCGGGAUAUAGUCAUGCAGUCUUUAAUUUGUUUGUUUGAAUUAUAUUUUGUAAUUUUUUUUUAAUUAAUA
rfam:Picea glauca, whole genome shotgun sequence.